rnacentral:rRNA from 1 species
UAGUCCACGCCGUAAACGAUGAGAACUAGACGUUGGUCCUAUUUAAAGGAUUAGUGUCGAAGCUAACGCGAUAAGUUCUCCGCCUGGGGAGUACGGCCGCAAGGUUAAAACUCAAAGGAACUGACGGGGGCCCGCACAAGCGGUGGAGCAUGUGGUUUAAUUCGAUGCAACGCGAAGAACCUUACCAUCCCUUGACAUCCAGAGAAUCUGUUUGAGAAGAUAGAGUGCCUUCGGGAACUCUGAGACAGGUGCUGCAUGGCUGUCGUCAGCUCGUGUCGUGAGAUGUUGGGUUAAGUCCCGCAACGAGCGCAACCCUUAUCUUUAGUUACCAUCAUUAAGUUGGGCACUCUAAAGAGACUGCCGGUGACAAGCCGGAGGAAGGUGGGGACGACGUCAAGUCAUCAUGGCCCUUACGGGAUGGGCUACACACGUGCUACAAUGGUUGAUACAGAGGGUCGCGAAGCAGUGAUGUGGAGCUAAUCUCAGAAAGUCAAAUCGUAGUCC